GAUGAACGCUUUCUUCUUUCCUAAUACAUGCAAGUCGAGCGAACAGACGAGGAGCUUGCUCCUCUGACGUUAGCGGCGGACGGGUGAGUAACACGUGGAUAACCUACCUAUAAGACUGGGAUAACUUCGGGAAACCGGAGCUAAUACCGGAUAAUAUAUUGAACCGCAUGGUUCAAUAGUGAAAGACGGUUUUGCUGUCACUUAUAGAUGGAUCCGCGCCGCAUUAGCUAGUUGGUAAGGUAACGGCUUACCAAGGCAACGAUGCGUAGCCGACCUGAGAGGGUGAUCGGCCACACUGGAACUGAGACUCGGUCCAGACUCCUACGGGAGGCAGCAGUAGGGAAUCUUCCGCAAUGGGCGGAAGCCUGACGGAGCAGCGCCGCGUGAGUGAUGAAGGUCUUCGGAUCGUAAAACUCUGUUAUUAGGGAAGAACAAAUGUGUAAGUAACUAUGCACGUCUUGACGGUACCUAAUCAGAAAGCCACGGCUAACUACGUG
rnacentral:rRNA from 1 species